rnacentral:rRNA from 1 species
UACGGAGGGGGCUAGCGUUGUUCGGAAUUACUGGGCGUAAAGCGCACGUAGGCGGCUUUGUAAGUUAGAGGUGAAAGCCCAGGGCUCAACCCUGGAACUGCCUUUAAGACUGCAAGGCUUGAAUCGCGGAGAGGUGAGUGGAAUUCCGAGUGUAGAGGUGAAAUUCGUAGAUAUUCGGAAGAACACCAGUGGCGAAGGCGACUUACUGGACACAUAUUGACGCUGAGGUGCGAAAGCGUGGGGAUCAAACAGGGAUUAAGAAAC